rnacentral:rRNA from 1 species
ACUCCUACGGGAGGCAGCAGUGGGGAAUAUUGCACAAUGGGGGAAACCCUGAUGCAGCCAUGCCGCGUGUGUGAAGAAGGCCUUCGGGUUGUAAAGCACUUUCAGCGAGGAGGAAAGGGUGUAAGUUAAUACCUUACAUCUGUGACGUUACUCGCAGAAGAAGCACCGGCUAACUCCGUGCCAGCAGCCGCGGUAAUACGGAGGGUGCGAGCGUUAAUCGGAAUUACUGGGCGUAAAGCGUGCGCAGGCGGUUUGUUAAGCGAGAUGUGAAAGCCCCGGGCUCAACCUGGGAACCGCAUUUCGAACUGGCAAACUAGAGUCUUGUAGAGGGGGGGUAGAAUUCCAGGGUGUAGCGGUGAAAUGCGUAGAGAUCUGGAGGAAUACCGGUGGCGAAGGCGGCCCCCUGGACAAAGACUGACGCUCAGGCACGAAAGCGUGGGGAGCAAACAGGAUUAGAUACCCUGGUAGCGUCGUCU